UCUAUGCAUUAUUGUUCAGGUAUGUGUACACCCGGUGGAUGGAUGGUGGAGAGCUCGAAGGGUUCGUGUCUGCUGCUGCUCCUCUGUGGCAAGUCCAUCAACCUGCGUGUGAACAUAUACAGUGGCAAGCAAUGACCAGUGAGGAUUUAGCGGCUCGGGCCCAAUUCUAUAAUGAUUCACUGAAGCUCAAAAGAGAAACAGCACCCUGUGCCACCAAAACACUACCAGCAACGGGCAGACGUUGGAAUCAACUUGUAGCUGGGGGCAAUCCUAACAAGAAGAGCGUGCAAGUUGCUCACCAAAAACUACAGACCUCUUCAUCUGAAGAUAGCGCCAUUAAGUUGCUUGGCACUGUGGUGAUAAUAGUGAGAAAACAACAUCGGCUUCACCUUCAGAAUACUGACCAAAAGCCGAGUUACCACGUCCAGACUGGCAUUUACGUGGACAACCAGGAGUUACAAAAAGCAGCAAGUCAUCA